rnacentral:rRNA from 1 species
ACGCUCGACACCUACGGAGGCAGCAGUCGGGAAUAUUGCGCAAUGGAGGAAACUCUGACGCAGUGACGCCGCGUGCAGGAAGAAGGUUUUCGGAUUGUAAACUGCUUUAGACAGGGAAGAAAGAAAUGACAGUACCUGUAGAAUAAGCUCCGGCUAACUACGUGCCAACAGCCGCGGUAAUCUGAGCGGGCGUGGCGAAGGC